GCCCCCUGACCAGGACUACUACUAUAAGAAGUAUGAUGAACCACAGCCAGACAGACAACCAGAAAGAGACCAGCCAGACAGACAACCAGCGAGCGACCAGCCAGACAGACAACCAGAGAGAGACCAUCCAGACAGACCAACCAGCCUCUCAGACUAUGGUGCGGUGAGCAGAGAGGGGGCCAGGAGGAGAGAAACUCGGAAGGUUCAGAGGAAGUCCGACCUGGAGGUUGAGAAUGAGAGACAUUCCCUAACCAGCCUGAAGACUAACCGACCCUAACCAGCCUGAGGACUAACCAACCCUAACCAGCCUGAGGACUAACCGACCCUAACCAGCCUGAGGACUAACCGACCCUAACCAGCCUGAGGACAACUAGAGCUGUGGCGGGCACGACAUUUCAUCAGCCAGUGAUUGUCAAGUAAAUAACUGUCGUUCUCACGGUUAUUGCCCCUGAUACAGACCUUUGGAACAUCUACAUUUUAAAAAGUAUAAUAAAUCCAUGUAAUAUAGCCUACACCAUCAAAAAUAAAUCCAUUAUUUAUUUUAGACAGGUCUAAAGAAACAUGAUUUGAAGAAAAUGUGGUCUAUUUCUGAAGAACAGAAUAGCAUACUCUGAGCUGUCCUUAUGUUAGGUCCUGAUGUGGCUAGGCCAUAUGGCUGUGGGCAACACUAGUUCAUUUAGCAGGUCCUGAUGUGGCUGUGCCAUAUGGCUGUGGGCUACACUAGUUCAUUUAGCAGGUCCUGAUGUGCCUGUGCCAUAUGGCUGUGGGCUACACUAGUUCAUUUAGCAGACAAGAUUUGCUUAGAAUUCCAUGUUAAUAUUAUAUAUUAUUCUAUAGUAUGAAGAAUACAGUGGAACAGAAUAAAAAGGAUAUUUUCUCCAAACGAUUUGAUGAAGUGCAGCUAUUCUGUGUUGAGCGGUUAACAAAGAAAUAGGUCCUCCUAUAUGCUUAAUGUAGAGUUAUUAAUGUAACUUUAGUUGUUCUACAGACGUUGGGUUAUGUUUAGAUGUUUAAUACAUUGUAAGGCUGCA